rnacentral:rRNA from 1 species
GAUGAACGCUGGCGGCGUGCCUAAUACAUGCAAGUCGAGCGAACAGACGAGGAGCUUGCUCCUCUGACGUUAGCGGCGGACGGGUGAGUAACACGUGGAUAACCUACCUAUAAGACUGGGUUAACUUCGGGAAACCGGAGCUAAUACCGGAUAAUAUAUUGAACCGCAUGGUUCAAUAGUGAAAGACGGUUUUGCUGUCACUUAUAGAUGGAUCCGCGCCGCAUUAGCUAGUUGGUAAGGUAACGGCUUACCAAGGCAACGAUGCGUAGCCGACCUGAGAGGGUGAUCGGCCACACUGGAACUGAGACACGGUCCAGACUCCUACGGGAGGCAGCAGUAGGGAAUCUUCCGCAAUGGGCGAAAGCCUGACGGAGCAACGCCGCGUGAAUGAUGAAGGUCUUCGGAUCGUAAAACUCUGUUAUUAGGGAAGAACAAAUGUGUAAGUAACUAUGCACGUCUUGACGGUACCUAAUCAGAAAGCCACGGCUAACUACGUG